rnacentral:rRNA from 1 species
UACGGAGGAUGCAAGCGUUAUCCGGAAUGAUUGGGCGUAAAGCGUCCGCAGGUGGCUGUGUAAGUCUGCUGUCAAAGAGCGAAGCUCAACUUCGUAAAGGCAGUGGAAACUACACGGCUAGAGUGCGUUCGGGGCAGAGGGAAUUCCUGGUGUAGCGGUGAAAUGCGUAGAUAUCUGGAGGAACACCGGUGGCGAAGGCGGCAUCCUGGACCGGUAUUGACGCUGAGGCGCGAAAGCCAGGGGAGCAAACGGG